UUUAUCGCGAACAGACUGACAGACAGAUAGACGCGGUAGAGGACUGUGUUUUAUUUAUACAUAUAAUUAAUAUAAUAGUAAUUAAACAGUAAAAAUAUUUUAGUAUUUGUGUGUAUUUUAUUUACAUUUAGUAUGGAACACACAUAAACAAAUAAACAUUUCUAUCCAUCUAUCUAGUAUUUUUGACUGAAAUGGAUAGAGAGACCCUUAAAACGAUUAAUAGAAAGCAAAAAAAAUGUCUGUCUGUAUGUAUGAUUAUGCUUCUCUCUGAAGGUACUGGACGGACUCGAAUGAAACGUUUUUGUUAUAUAGCUACAUAUUAAGCCUGGGCAACAUAUAAGGUAUAAAUUAUUUUGAAAAUUAGAACAUCUGUUGGAGAACCAUGACGGUUCAGCUAGACUAUACGAAAUAUAGAAAUGACGCCUUCACAAAAAUUGUUCAGCCUGAUCAUGAUGAGCAUUUUCUGUUGAGGUAUAGAAAUACUCAAACUCCGGGGCGCGAGUCCAACUCACACUUGACCGUUUUAUUUAAUUAGAAUUUGAUUAUGUAGCUGGCAACACUCUCAAACUCGAAGGGGAUUCACUCAGAUAUUGGGAAGCUAAAUAUAGAGUCCGCAGUUUAUUUGACGUGUAGUAUAAAAGCAAGGGGCAACUUUUUGCAGUUUGCAUUAUAAAAGCAGAGUUUGUACAGUGGCUUACGAGUGGAUUCGUGGUGCUAUUGAUAUUGUUUUUACAUAUUAUACUUAUUAAAAACAAGAUGGAUCUUUUUUCCAACAUCCUGGACAAUAUUCCGGUGGUAGGCCAAGUGAAAAUGGUGGCCCACCAGCUCAGCGGCGACAGCGAGGCGGCAGAACGCUCCUUUGAGAGGUCUACCAAGGCCACGAGCAGUUUGGCCGGGGUCCUCGGAGGCGGGAUCGCAGGGGGGCCGGCGGGGGCCAUCGCUGGUUAUGUGGCGGGGGGCGCGGCUGGUGACGCGUUGGUCGAUUCGACUAAAAACAACAAAAUAAAAUAAAUGUGUAAUAUGAAUGUAUUCCAAAAAUAAAUGUUUGUCUAUA